GACGAACGCUGGCGGCGUGCUUAACACAUGCAAGUCGAACGGUGAAGCGCCUUCCUUUUUGGUGGGUGUGGAUGCGUGGCGAACGGGUGCGUAACACGUGAGUAACCUGCCCCCUUCUUUUGGAUAACCGCAUGAAAGUGUGGCUAAUACGGGAUAUUCUGGGUCUGUCGCAUGAUGGGUCUGGGACAGCUAUUGUUUAGGUGGGGGAUGGGCUCGCGGCCUAUCAGCUUGUUGGUGGGGUGAUGGCCUACCAAGGCGGUGGCGGGUAGACGGCCUGGGAGGGUGGACGGUCACACUGGGACUGAGGCACGGCCCAGACUCCUACGGGAGGCAGCAGUGGGGAAUAGGGCACAAUGGGCGCAAGCCUGAUGCAGCGACGCCGCGGAAGGGAUGGAGGCCUGCGGGUUGUGAACCUCUUUCGCCAGUGAAGCAGGCCUGCCUCGUUUGUGGGGGGGUUGACGGUAGCUGGAUAAGAAGCGCCGGCUAACUACGUG
rnacentral:rRNA from 1 species